GGGCCCGGCCAGGCAUGCCCGGCAUCGCCGCUGCAGCCAGCGCGGAGGGGAGCUCAAAUUGCUUAAAAGAUAAUUAUGUUAUAUAAAGUGAUCAAUGAAAACAAACGUCAUCUUCAUUUUUUAAAGUCCUUCAGAGCUUACAUCAUGUGGCCGAGUUUAUAUACCUGAUUGGCAAAACAGAGCCUAAGAACCAGCUCUCCUGUAUCCCAAGCAAGGCUCUUUCUACCGCACACCCUGCAGGCCCAUCCAGGCCCAUCCAGACAAUAAACACUGACGGCCCAGAGGGUGGGUGCCAAUUCCACCAGCAGCUGCAACUGAAAAGCAAGGUUCAGAAAUGUCAGAUAUCCUCCGGGAGCUGCUCUGUGUCUCUGAGAAGGCUGCUAACAUUGCCCGGGCGUGCAGACAGCAGGAAGCCCUCUUCCAGC
rnacentral:lncRNA from 1 species